rnacentral:rRNA from 1 species
UACGGAGGGUGCAAGCAUUGAUCGGAAUUACUGGGCGUAAAGGGCGCGUAGGCGGCACUGAAAGUCAGAUGUGAAAUUCCGGGGCUCAACCCCGGAGCUGCAUUUGAAACUUCAGAGCUAGAGUUCAGUUAGGGUAAACGGAAUUCCACGUGUAGCGGUGAAAUGCGUAGAUAUGUGGAAGAACACCGGUGGUGAAGACGGUUUACUGAGCUGAAACUGACGCUGAGGCGCGAAAGCAUGGGGAGCAAACAGG